rnacentral:snoRNA from 1 species
AGGCAGCCCCCUUUGUUCGAUUUGAUGGGAAGGGAGGUGUUAAUCUGCUCGUAAAUUAAAUUCGCUUUUAGUCUUCAGAUUUGCUGAGAUAUAUUAUAUCUUUGAAGCUGGUCUAGUAAAUCCUAAGCACAAU